UACGGGGGGAGCAAGCGUUGUUCGGAUUUACUGGGCGUAAAGGGCGCGUAGGCGGUCAGCACAAGUCAGUUGUGAAAUCUCCGAGCUUAACUCGGAAAGGUCAACUGAUACUGUGCGACUAGAGUGCAGAAGGGGCAACUGGAAUUCUCGGUGUAGCGGUGAAAUGCGUAGAUAUCGAGAGGAACACCUGCGGCGAAGGCGGGUUGCUGGGCUGACACUGACGCUGAGGCACGAAAGCGUGGGGAGCAAACAGG
rnacentral:rRNA from 1 species